GUGUGUGACAGUCUGCAGGUUUUGACAACAGCUGACCUCCUGUGUGCCCACCUGUCAGUUCAGACAGAUGUGUUUUAUGUGAAUCAGGACAUCCUGUGGGCAUGUCAUCAUGCUGCACUCACACCCCAGCGUUUCCACUGUCCUGAGCAAACAGGCCCCCCACUCCUCUGAGCCCCACUGACAGCACGUUCACAGCCCAGCCCCUGUGCGGCUCUUCAGCUGCUGUGAGGAAAGGACUCAAGUAAUGCUCCAGGCCUAGAGAGGAUGUAAGUCAAGGUCUUACAAGCUGGAUGCAAACACUAAGUCACUCAUUAGUACAUCGGAUUUCUCUGCAGUAUGUCUGCUGCACCAGCCCAGAGUUGUCUCAAGUGUAACAUAGCAUCACAGUUUAGUUCUAACAUAAUAAUGUAACUCUCUCAUAUUAAUGCUCAUGCACAGUGUGAUGCCAUGGGGUAUGGGGGCCAUCACUUUAGGACACAAAACAGCCAUGUGCACUGAUCCAGACACGCCCCUCAAAGCCUGUUUAGGAAACUUCUCUUUUCUUUUCUCCUACUGUUACAUGCGCAUUCCUCCGAGAGUGGUGCUGUACACUGCCCCUCAUCAGGGGAACGUGGACCCCGAAGUUAAAGUUACCCCAGGGCGUACAUACUGUUACAAAUGGAGGGUAACGAAAAUGGUGAAUAUCAGGAGCAACCAAGCAGGGGGACCUGGACUCAUGUGUGAAGUCCUGUUUCUCUGGAUUCUGGCUGUUGGGACAGUCUUUACAACGGAAGACAAAGAUGUAGAUGAUGUUUUACUACGGAUCUUUAUUUUUUGGUACUUUGCAUUGCCUUUAGUGAAUUCAACUGCACUCGCAACGGAUUUAAUUCUUAAAACCACUAAAAGCUACCGUGUUGUGAAAGAUCUUCGCUUGGUGGCCGUGCCCUGCGAAUCCCUCUGUGUGAUCUGCUGUGCUGUUCAUCUGAU